GAGGUGAAGCGCUCUCUCUCUCUCCUGAUGCGAAGCGUUGUGUUGGAGAACUGUUUGUCCUCUACGCUGUGGUCGUUGCGCACUGUCACACAGAGAUGCACACAGCUGUACUUCAUCAGGAAAUCUGAUCCAAGUCAGAGGAAGUGCCACGAGGCUUCUGGCCACAUCACACAGCUCAUCUUAGACCGCUUUUGCUUUGGCGAUUUUUUGCUUUUUAAGAGUCUAACUGCUCUCCAUAUUUCCAAAUCCACCACACAGGGAUGGAGGAUUUGGUGCAACACUGGACAGCUGAUGACUCAUGUUUGUGCCUCUCCUUCUUCCCGUUGUCACAGGAUGUUCGCCUAUGUCAAGGUCUUCCCUUUUUAACAACAUCAAAAUAAAAGCACGACAUGCC